rnacentral:misc_RNA from 1 species
UACAGAGGGUGCAAGCGUUAAUCGGAAUGACUGGGCGUAAAGGGCGCGUAGGUGGCUGAAUAAGUUAGCUGUGAAAUCCCCGGGCUUAACCUGGGAACUGCAGUUGAUACUGUUUAGCUUGAGUAAGGUAGAGGGAAGUGGAAUUUCCGGUGUAGCGGUGAAAUGCGUAGAUAUCGGAAGGAACACCAGUGGCGAAGGCGGCUUCCUGGACCUAUACUGACACUGAGGCGCGAAAGCGUGGGGAGCAAACAGG